GUCUUUAAUUGCCAUCAUUGAGUUGGGCACUUUAAAGAGACUGCCGGUGUUAAACCGGAGGAAGGUGGGGAUGACGUCAAGUCCUCACGGCCUUUAUGUCCAGGGCUACACACGUGCUACAAUGGGUGGUACAAAGAGCAGCGACCUCGCGAGUGGAAGCAAAUCUCAAAAAGACCAUCCUCAGUUCGGAUUGGAGUCUGCAACUCGACUCCAUGAAGUCGGAAUCGCUAGUAAUCGCGGAUCAGCACGCCGCGGUGAAUACGUUCCCGGGCCUU
rnacentral:rRNA from 1 species